CGAGGAGGGUGGGGUUUCCUGCUUUCUCCCUGAGGCUCUCUCAUGACCUCUCAGCCUGUAGGCCCCCUACACCCCGCUUUAUGUCCCUGGUGGCGCGGCACCAGGAACCUCCACGCCCCUGGCCGCUAGCCUGAGGGGGCCCUCUGUCACCUCCUGUUCUUCCUUCUCGAGCCGUGACAGAUGAAGAGGGUGUGCGCUGCACCUGCGAAGAUGCUUGUCUGUGCCAUAGGUGCGCGCCAGGCGCGGGGUCCGGGGCUGGCGUCCCAGGGCCUGGGCCCAGCUGGGAGGCGGGCCUGUGCGUGAAGAAUACAUAUUGGAUGCCCAAAGGGACGCGGUACCAGACUCCGGGGAUGCUCGCUUCACACCUGUCAAGUGCACAGAACAGGGAGGCAUUUAUUUACCUGAGAUUUUCUGAGUUCCUGGUGUGUGUUAGGAGUAUCCAGAGUGGUGUGAUUUUCUCGGAGCUAUAAUCUUGCUGGAAAGACAAACAUGAAGCAAAUAAUGAGUGCAGUCUUGAUGAGUUAUGAAGAAGAGAAUGUAGGUUCUUCCUCCUUGGAUAUUUUGCUCAAGUCCAUGGUGUCAGCAGCUUAUAAGGUAUUUCUAAGGAAGAUAAAAUGUCUCUAUUGAAUUCUCUACCUUGGGCCUGGGAUGGAUACCACCUUUUGGAAAUUAAAGGCACAACCCUCCCUUCUCAAAGCUCAUUAUAGAAUUACAUUCAGAAGACUCACUUCAGACACCAACUAUCCUUAACCUAAGUUGUACUAUGGGUACUGUAUAAGUAUUUUUGCUUUUUUUUUUCUUAUAAAAGAUGGAAUGUGUAUGGGGGGCAUAGUGUUAAAGAACUUACACUUCUGCUGAUACAUUUGCACUUGUACUGCAGUUGCACUUGUAUCCAUCAGCAAAUUUAAAACAACUUCCGAUAUGAUGUCCUUACGUCUCCAGUCCUAAAUCUUUUUUUAAAGAGUUUGAAUUAGUUGCCAACAUGAAAAAACUAAAUUUCUCACAAAAAUCUUGCUUUCUAGCUUUCCUUGGGGAAAUCGAACUACAUAGCAACAUUAGACCGUGAUUCCCGCCCAGGGAUAACUGAGGGGUGGCUGUUCAUUAAGAGGAGUCACGCAUUCUCCAGUUCUGUCCCUACCACUCUGUUUUCUAACGCAGGACCUCCUUCACUUAUUUCUAUGAUUGGUUUAGCCCCUGCGGUCAAGUUUCCCCUCAAUUUUUCUCUUCAACUUUUAAUCAUAUUACUAACAACACUUUUCUAAUUUCUGAGC